rnacentral:rRNA from 1 species
AGAUGUACCGGUAAGGAGCGUUGGAGCGGAUAGAAGUGAGCAUGCAGGCAUGAGUAGCGAUAAUUGAGGUGAGAAUCCUCAACGCCGAAAACCCAAGGUUUCCUACGCGAUGCUCGUCAUCGUAGGGUUAGUCGGGACCUAAGUCGAGUCCGAAAGGGGUAGACGAUGGCAAAUUGAUUAAUAUUUCAAUACCAACAUAUAAGCGCGAUGUGGGGACGCAUAGAGUUAAUCGAGGUCACUGAUGGAAUAGUGGCUCGAAGGACGUAGGCUGUUAAGUAGGCAAAUCCGCUUAACAUUAGGCCGAGAUCUUACAGGCUCUUGACACUCUUCGGAGGAGAUGGAGAAUCGAUGAUACUGUCGUGCCAAGAAAAGCCACUAAGUUUAUUAUAUGUUGCCCGUACCGUAAACCGACACAGGUGGGUGGGAUGAGUAUUCUAAGGCGCGUGGAAGAACCCUGGUUAAGGAACUCUGCAAACUAGCACCGUAUCUUCGGUAUAAGGUGUGCCUACUUUUGUAUAUGAACUUGCUUCAAAAAGCGAAAGAGGUUGCAACAAAGAGUCCCUCCCGACUGUUUACCAAAAACACAGCACUUUGCUAACACGUAAGUGGAUGUAUAAGGUGUGACGCCUGCCCGGUGCUCGAAGGUUAACUGAUGAUGUCAGCGCAAGCGAAGCAUUUGAUUGAAGCCCGAGUAAACGGCGGCCGUAACUAUAACGGUCCUAAGGUAGCGAAAUUCCUUGUCGGUUAAAUACCGACCUGCAUGAAUGGCGUAACGAGAUGGGAGCUGUCUCAACCAGGGAUCCAGUGAAAUUGUAGUGGAGGUGAAAAUUCCUCCUACCCGCGGAAAGACGGAAAGACCCCGUGCACCUUUACUACAGCUUGACACUGUAGCUUGGAUAUUCAUGUGCAGGAUAGGUGGGAGGCUAUGAUGACUAGACGCCAGUAGAGUCGGAGCCAUCCUUGAGAUACCACCCUUGAAUAUUUGAGUUACUAACUGCGUACAAUUAUCUUGUAUCAGGACAAUGUCUGGUGGGUAGUUUGACUGGGGCGGUCGCCUCCUAAAAAGUAACGGAGGCUUACAAAGGUUAGUUCAAAGCGGAUGGAAAUCGCUUGUUGAGUAUAAUGGCAUAAACUAGCUUGACUGUGAGACAUACAAGUCGAACAGAGACGAAAGUCGGUCAUAGUGAUCCGGUGGUUCUGUGUGGAAGGGCCAUCGCUCAAAGGAUAAAAGGUACGCCGGGGAUAACAGGCUGAUCUCCCCCAAGAGCUCACAUCGACGGGGAGGUUUGGCACCUCGAUGUCGGCUCAUCGCAUCCUGGGGCUGUAGUCGGUCCCAAGGGUAUGGCUGUUCGCCAUUUAAAGCGGUACGCGAGCUGGGUUCAGAACGUCGUGAGACAGUUCGGUCCCUAUCUUCCGUGGGCGUAGGAAAGUUGAAGAGAUUUGUCCCUAGUACGAGAGGACCGGGAUGAACGUACCACUGGUGUACCAAUUGUUCUGCCAAGAGCAUCGUUGGGUAGCUACGUACGGAUGUGAUAAGAGCUGAAAGCAUCUAAGCUCGAAGCCAACUCUAAGAUUAACUUUCCCUGAAGUUCCCAGCAAGACUAGCUGGUUGAUAGGCUGGAUGUGUAAGCGUUGUAAGACGUUUAGCUGACCAGUACUAAUAGAACGUUUGGCUUAUUUUA